rnacentral:rRNA from 1 species
ACGAACGCUGGCGGCAGGCCUAACACAUGCAAGUCGCGCGAGGACUUCGGUUCUAGCGGCGGACGGGUGAGUAACGCGUGGGAAUGUGCCCUUCUCUACGGAAUAGCCCUGGGAAACUGGGAGUAAUACCGUAUACGCCCUAUUGGGGAAAGAUUUAUCGGAGAAGGAUCAGCCCGCGUUGGAUUAGGUAGUUGGUGGGGUAAUGGCCUACCAAGCCGACGAUCCAUAGCUGGUUUGAGAGGAUGAUCAGCCACACUGGGACUGAGACACGGCCCAGACUCCUACGGGAGGCAGCAGUGGGGAAUCUUAGACAAUGGGGGCAACCCUGAUCGAGCCAUGCCGCGUGAGUGAUGAAGGCCUUAGGGUUGUAAAGCUCUUUCAGCUGGGAAGAUAAUGACGGUACCAGCAGAAGAAGCCCCGGCUAACUCCGUG